rnacentral:rRNA from 1 species
UUGCCAUCAUUUAGUUGGGCACUUUAAAGAGACUGCCGGUGUUAAGCCGGAGGAAGGUGGGGAUGACGUCAAGUCCUCAUGGCCUUUAUGCCCAGGGCUACACACGUGCUACAAUGGGCGGUACAAAGAGAAGCAACCUCGCGAGGGUGAGCAAAUCUCAAAAAGCCGUUCUCAGUUCGGAUUGAAGUCUGCAACUCGACUUCAUGAAGUCGGAAUCGCUAGUAAUCGCGGAUCAGCAUGCCGCGGUGAAUACGUUCCCGGGCCUU